rnacentral:rRNA from 1 species
UACGAAGGGGGCUAGCGUUGCUCGGAUUGACUGGGCGUAAAGGGCGCGUAGGCGGUUUGCAUAGUCAGACGUGAAAUUCCUGGGCUUAACCUGGGGGCUGCGUUUGAUACAUGCAGGCUUGAGUUCGGAAGAGGGUCGUGGAAUUCCCAGUGUAGAGGUGAAAAUUCGUAGAUAUUGGGAAGAACACCGGUGGCGAAGGCGGCGACCUGGUCCGAUACUGACGCUGAGGCGCGAAAGCGUGGGGAGCAAACAGG